rnacentral:rRNA from 1 species
CCUACGGGUGGCAGCAGUGGGGGAUAUUGCACAAUGGGGGGAACCCUGAUGCAGCGACGCCGCGUGGGUGAAGGAGUGCUUCGGCAUGUAAAGCCCUAUCGGCAGGGAAGAAGCAAGACGGUACCUGACUAAGAAGCCCCGGCUAACUACGUGCCAGCAGCCGCGGUAAUACGUAGGGGGCGAGCGUUAUCCGGAUUCACUGGGUGUAAAGGGAGCGUAGACGGCCAUGCAAGCCAGGGGUGAAAUCCUGCGGCUUAACCGCAGAACUGCAUUUGAAACUGUUGAUCUUGAGUACUGGAGAGGCAGAUGGAAUUCCUAGUGUAGCGGUGAAAUGCGUAGAUAUUAGGAGGAACACCAGUGGCGAAGGCGGUCUGCUGGACAGCAACUGACGGUGAGGCGCGAAAGCGUGGGGAGCAAACAGGAUUAGAUACCCGGGUAGUC